UAUAUAUUUGUGCAUAUUGAUUUUUGGUGUCUAAACGUGCUGUAUUUGGAAUCUACAGGCCUUCCGGUUUGUGAAGAUGUCUUACGUUUAAGGAUUCGAGGAUUUUUGACCGAGUUACAAGCAUUUUAAGAUUUCAUGCGUAUUUAGGAGCUCAUUUGCAUAUGACUUUGGAAGUUUUGGCCUGUAUUCUUUUACAUCGACUUGAUUGCUGAAGAGUGGGGGAAAAAAAAAAAACUUACCUUGUAUGCAGAACUCCUGAAGUGGGAAGACUGAAAUACCGAAGAGAAUCAAUUACUUGCGGGGCCCCAGAGAGAGAUUGGCAAGACACUUCGCUUCUACGAAACGGUCUCAAGUUCUAUCCUCGGUUGAACGAAAGAAGAAGGCGAGAAAGUGAAAAAAAAAGGAGGGGCCCCCCAAGUCAAGAAGUAAGUAAAGAGAGAAGAGAAGAAAACGUCCGGGUGGCACAUAAAGCAGCUUUGAAAAAAAAAAAGAAAAGGAGAUUAUUAUUUAAGAGGAGAAUGGUGCCACCCGGAAAGGGGCUUUUGGAAAAUUUUUUGAUCUCCAGAGAUGCGGGAUGUAAAUUUUACAUUUUGUUUUGUAUUUCUAACACAAAUGUUGUUGUAGUCAUCUGGUGUGUACAAGUAAAAAUAAAUUUGUUUUACGGUUUUA